GCCAUCAUAUCCACAUGAAAGUUACUUAAGGAAGACACUUCACAUAAACUCCAAGGGUAUUUAAAGAACUCAACCAGGAACUGUAUGAAGCCAUUUGUUUCUAGUUUCUUCCCAGAAAGCCUUAAGCUUGUGCACGAUACUAUGUGGAAUUGAAGAUGUAUAAAUAAGUUAUUAAAUUUGACCUUCAGUUCUCUCUGGUUAAACCAAAAGGAGCAGUAUGCAAACUAACCAAUCUCGUAUUCUUCAUUCUCA
rnacentral:misc_RNA from 1 species